rnacentral:lncRNA from 1 species
GAUCCCGUGCAUUUGGUGGGAAGAUUGAGGAAGCUUUGCCGGACGGAGAUAGUCUCAGUCGGACCGGCAAAGGAGGAGAAGAAGAAAGAGGAGCCGAAGAAGGAGGAGCCGAAGAAGAAAGAUCCAAAGGACGAAAUGCUUGAGCUUAUGAAGGCCUACCCAGCACUUUAUCCUCCAAUGCCUGCGUAUUAUUACGUAAGAAGUUCAGAAGAGGAUCCCAAUGCUUGUGUCAUUUGCUAAAUGGUUGGCAAAAUUCAGUUGAUACGGUGUUUUUUCAAGGAGAGAAAUCAUAUGUACAGUGGUUGAAAUUGGGAUAAAAUUUUGGUUAAAAUAUUGUGGUUGGUCUUGAAUUUUCCAUGAUCCAGAAGUCUUUGAGGUAUUUUUGAUGUAUUACUUUGUAUUUCUUUUAUAUAGUAUUUACUCGAAUAAUCAGUGAAUGAAAAUCAGCUGUCUUAGCAAUUUCAUUAAUAUUUAUAUGCUAUCAUUUUUUACUGCACUAUUCUCAUUUUAAUCCCUCGUUAUACUUGAUUAUAAACUUGAAAAUUUUUCAUGUCCUUUUUGAUAGAUCUCAAUGAAUACAUAAAAGUUGAGUAUUAUGAUCGGUAAACAAAAAUUUUAAAUUGAAUGAUGUUUUACACGAAUAAGCUGAUAACUUGUGACCGCAACAAUUAAUUGUGGAAAGGAUGAGGAAGAGAAAGAAUGCAAUCCGAUGUCUAUCUCAACUAUGAAUCUUAACUUUAACUCAAUUCAAUCAGAACAAUAAUUUCUCAACUAAAAGUUCUUAAGCAUUGAUCGUUUAAUUCAUCAAAACAUGUAGUUAUAAUCAUUUUCGUCAACUUCGUCAGAUUUUCAUAAAAAAUAAUUAUGAUGAAAGAAUCAUUACGGCACUUGAGUUGUACUUGAGUAACCUUUGUUUUAACUUUUAAUUGGGGUUAAGGACCUACCAAGAACGAUGACCCACGAGAAAUUAGAAUCGUUCCAAAGAACUGUUCAGCAAAUGCCAACGACUCAGAAUUAACAUUGGCUUCUUCCCGGAAGGAGGAAACAAACAGUACGAUUGCAAAUACUUUUCAAAAACCAUUGAAAUUUUCAUAAAAUGUUCGAAGCCAUUACGGUGUCUUUUGGCAGUGGGAGAUGAUAACAAUGUUUCUUAUAUCUCGUUUAGAAAUGAUUUUAAAAUGAUUGAAAAUGUUUUAAGUAAAAAUAUUUUUGAAACCAAUCUCUUGUAAAAAUUCAAGUAGAUCCUAAAAAAAUACUUUAAGUGUUUCCUGCAAGAAAUACAUGUCUAGUAUUUCUUCCAAAAAACACUUAAAAGUGCUCUUGAAACUCAAAAUGAAUUUCACAAAAAGCGGUUUCACUUAUUUCAAAAGUAUUUUCAAACAAACCCUUAAACUUCUAGUAUUUGAUUACAUGAUGAUGUAAGGAAUAUUAAAAUUUAAUUAAUUUUCUCUUGCAGCCAAAAUUAGCACAUGAUUUUGUUGAUUGUAGAAUGAACUUCUUGCGUCUUGACUCUUGACUAGUUGCGUUGACUCAGUUCCUUCUUUGUAAGUUCUUCUUCCCUUUCCUACCUUCAAUUAUUCAGUAUAAAUUGCUGUAUUGAAGAAAGAUGGACCUCCUUGCCCUCCAUAAACUUUUUUAGUUCUCCCCGCAGUGGAGGGAGCGACGCCUUGCUCUUGGUGCAGCGUCUGUUGGUUAUUUACCCUCCUCUUUUGUUUUAUGUUUGUGGUUCCCCGUGUUGCCCCUCUUUGUAGGCUUCCUGUAUCUUUGGCUUUGGCCCUGAUUAUGCUAUAUUUCCAAUCUUUCAAAAAAAAAAAAAAAAUUGCAGUCCCCCAAGGACUCUUCACUUCACCAAGACACUUUCAACGUCUCUCUUCCUCUUAAUUACUUCUACCAUAAUAUAAUCUCCUUUUAUUUUCUUAAUUUCUUGAGUACGAGCUCUUUUUAUGUGUGCGUAAUUGCAUGAGCACGUGAUCUGACAAGUAGAUUCUAAAAAAGUUAGAAUUUGCUUUGUCCCAAAGAGAGACUCUUGAGUACAGGCAACAACCGCUAACAGUCAGUGUGGAACUAUGUAUCACAAAGUCGACUCUCAUUGUGAGAAGCUGCCCUACAGGUCAGUUUUCGUAUCCAAGAAUUUUCCCAUGGUUGAAGUCAUAUAUUGUACCAAACCAAAGUUCCAACCCAAGCCUUUUUCUACAGUGUCUCCCUUGACAUGGUCUGAAAUAACGCGUAGAGAUCGUAGAAAUAAAGAAAAGGUGGCUGUGGGGGAUAUGGAGACCUGCCAACUUCGACGACCCACCAGAAACUAGAAACGUACCAAAAAACUGUUCAUCAAGCCAACGACUUGGAAUUAAUGUUGGUUCCAACAAACACUAUAAUUGCAGAUACUUUUCAAAAACCAUUGAACUUUUCCAAAAGUGUUUGAAGCCAUUACGAUGUCGUUUGGCAACGGGAGAUUACUGAUAACACAGUUCUUAGGUUUUGUUUGGAAGUGGUUUUAAGAAUGAUUAAAACUGUUUUAGAUGAAAAUGUUUUUGAAAUCAAUUUCUUGUAAAAAUCCAAGUAGAUCCUAAAAAAAACACUUUAAGAAAAAUUAAUUUCACAAAAAAACAAGUUCAAUCAUUUCAAAAACACUUCCAAACGAGUUCUGAAGCUUCUAAUAUUUGGUUACAUGAUGAUGUAAAUAAUAUUAAAUUUAAUUAAUUUUCACUUGGUCCUGAUUGUGAGAGGACAAAGAGAGACUAUUGAGUCUUGCGUACGGACUCUUUUUAAAUGUGUAACUGCAUGGUCACGUGAUCCGACAGAUAAACUUCAAAAGAAACUAAAAUAUGUCUGAUCACAAAGAGAGACUCUUGAGUACGGGCAACAACGACUCACAAUAAAGGUCAAACUACAUAUCACACAAUCGACUCUAAUUGUGAAAAGUUGCGCUACGGUUCAAUUAUUCGUAUUCAAGAAUUUCUCCAUUGUUGAACUCCUCCAUGCUUGGAGUCAUAUAUAGUGACAAUAUUGUACCAAACCAAAGUCCCAACUCAAGUCUCCCUCUACUUUUCUCACUUGACAUAAUCUGAAAUAACGCGUGGAGAUCGUAGAGAUAAAGAAAAGGUGUGUGGGGAUGCGGAAGACCCACCAACAACGAUGACCCAUGAGAAAUUAGAACCGUUCCAAAAAAUUGUUCAUGCAAAGCCAACGACUCAGAAUUCCCGAAGGAGGAAACAAACACUAUGAUUGCACGUACUUUUCAAAGGAAAGGGAUUCGGAGAAGAGGAUCAUUUUCCCUUUUCAAAAGCCAUUAAACUUUUCAAAAAGUGUUUGAAGCCAUUACGGUGUGGUUUGGCAAUGAGAGAUUAUUAAUAACACCGUUUCUUAGGUCUUAUUUGGAAAUACUUUUAAAAUAACUGAAAACGCUUUAGGUAGAAAUGUUUUUGAAACCAACCUUUUGUAAAAAUCAAAGUGAAUAUGUUUGGAUCCAAAAUUACACCAUCGGCCCGAGUAGUCAAGGAGAAAAACUUGUGUGGGGUUUGACUUAUUACUGGACUUUGCUGAGAGACACUACUAUCCACUAAAAAAUCGUCACGUGACAAGUCUUAACUAUAAUUUUUUUGCCCAUUCUUUUAUAUUUAGGAUUCUCAUAAUUAUAUUUCUCACUAAUUAAUAUACCUCAAUCUAAUGGAUAUUUUUUUGUUUUCUUUCUUUUUAAAGAAAUGGGUCAACUGGUGGUAAGUCACGGUUAUCCAUCCCAAAUAUUCCCUCCAAUUUAUGUUGCAGGACUCUUUCACUUUCUUCUCUCUCCCACUUCUUUGUCUCUCCGACUUUUUUCUCUCACUGUUCUUCAAAAAAAAUUCUAUACCCUAAACAAAAUCACUUUCUCCAACUUUUGUCAUGGAAAGCUAUCAAGAAUCUUUAAGUUUUUUUGUUAUUUAUACAAUACUUGAUUUGAUCAUGUGAAUCAAUGUUAAUCUAAUUUUUUAUUUGUUUUCGUUAACAUGUUAAUCUAAUAUUAGGGCUCAAAUGUUAAUCAAUGUUAUGGUUAAUAUGUUAAUACAAAUUACCCACAUAUUUAUACAAUAGUUUUUUCCGUUCUUUACUAUGAGUAUUUUAUUAAUGUGGUAGUCUUUUUUUUUUUUUUCAUUCAAUUGGUAGGUUGCUGCUGAGACAAUGAAGUUUUAAGAAGAUGUAAAAAUUAGAAUGAUGGUGAAUUAUGAUGCUAAAGCCUUUCAAGUACGCAAUGCUUAUGCUAUGAGGAAAGAGUCUUCGUAAGAGCAUAUUCGAAGAGAUAAAUAAAAUAAUAUUACACAAUGAGAUUGUUUGGGAAGUUAAAGAAGGCAGCAUGCCCUGCAACAUAAACUGGAGGGAAUAUUUGGGAAAAGGUGGGGGGGGGGACUAACAAAAUAUAAGCCAUUAAAUUGAUGCAUAUUAAUUAGUGAAAAAAAUAAUUAUGAGAAUUUUAAAUAUAAAAGAAUGAGAAAAAAAAUUAUAUUUAAGACUUGUCACGUGAUGAUUUUUUAGUGGAUUGUAGUGUCACUCAGCAAAGUUCAGUGGCAUGCCAAGCCCUACACAAGUUUUUCUUGUAAUGAGAUCGAGGCCUUUGAAUGAGCAAAAUUUUAGACCGUUAAAUGAUAAAAUGGUUGAAAUGAUCUUUAGUUAUUAUUGAGAAAUAAUAUUGUGGUUUUAAUCAUGACAUUAUCUCUUAGUAGUAUAUUAAAUUAUUUAAACCUAAUAUUUGUCUAAAUCCCAUUUGAAUGAUGAUGGAAUAUGGGGAUAUGCACGACAUCAGAUAAUGAAGCAUGCAUGAUGGGAUGAUUAUCAUAUACGUACAAAUGGUAUAUGCUUUUUGAUGUUGGCCACGUGGAAUGCAUCAGUCGGAGAUUAUAUUGGAUGGAUUUGAUAAAGGACUAUGAUUCUCUCCUCUCAUCUUUCCAUUCUCUUCCAUCCCCUCCUAUCACAUUCUCUUAUUUUGUCUUUCUCUUGCUAUAAAAAAUUUAUAUAAGAUGUUGACGUGGCUUAACCGUGACCGUUCAAUUAGGAGGGGAGGGAAGGUGAGAAAAAAAGAGAGGGGAAAGAAUCCUACUCGUUUGAUAAAUGUGCUAUGGAUAAAACAUUAUGCAUGGGAUAAAGGCUACUGAUGGAGUUUUGAUGAUGAGGUAAGAAGCCUAGGUGGGCUAGACUUCUAAUGUGAUGUAAUAAGCUUAUAUAGGCUUUUAUUUUGUUUGAAAAGUUAAGCAUCCGGAAGAUAGGCUUUAGCCUAUUCCACGGAUCAGUCUUUCAUUCUACGAGUUUGAGUUUCAGUUGGUUUCUACGAAGUUUUCAGGCUGUGCCAAGCAAAAAGUAUGGAUGCUAUAAAUACAGAGUCAUAGGCAACAUUUAAGGUCCCUCCAAUUCAACGUAUAAAUUACUCUACACAAACCUCUUAAUCACCUUGAGAUUUUUAUUUUCUUUUUCCGCCAACACAUCUUCAGUUUGGAUAAACAACACUGUGAAGGCAACCAACGACAUCAUCUUCAGUUUGGAUAAAUAGCACUGGAGUCGUAAAAUCAGUCGAUAAACAGCACUGGAGCAGUAAAAUUGGCUGAUUAAGGAGCACAUUUUCAGUUUGGUUAAACAGCACUGGAGUCGUAGAAUCAGCCGAUCAAGGAUCAACUUCAGUUUGAAUAAAUAACACUGCUUCGAGACCGACUGGUUAUUUAUCCAAGUCUUAGUCGACAAAGAUUUUCAAGUCCUUGUUGGUAGAGGUCAUUUCAUCAGCCUUCUUAGCAAAGUGAGGUGUUACAGAUUACUACAUUAGACACAUUGAAAGCUGAAUUUGAUAUUUGAACUUCACAGAACUAGCAGCCUUGUCUUUAGACUCUAGAACCUAAAGGCCGAGACGUGUUCCUUUCUCGGUCGCAAUCGUGAGAUCAAGAAGUCAGCAGUGCGCCUAACACCACAUCAACAUAUUUUACUUCCCGGUCGAGUUCGACGGACGAGUUAGCACACCCCGCACAUAACCGAAUGACGUAGUUAGCUUAUUAAUUACUCGGCAUGCGCACUAGGAUUAACAGAAUCCUAUAAAAGCACUUUAAAUGCUUUCUAUAAGAAGCACAUAUCUAGUACUUCUAUCAAAAAGUACUUUCUAAAAAUUAAUUUCACAAUAAACGACUUUAAGCAUUUUAAAAACAUUUACAACCGAGCUCUUAAAGCUUAUGGUAUUUGAUUAUGUGAUAACGAUGAUGUAAAUAAUAUUAAGAUUUAGUUUCUUUUCUCUAGCAGCCGAAAUUAGCACAUGAUUUUGUUGACCGUAGACUGAACUUCUUGCGUCUUGACUCUUGACUAGUUGCGUUGACUCGGCUCCUUCCUUCGUAAUUUCCUCUUCUCUUUCCUACCUUCAAAUUCAUUAUUCAGUAUAAAUUGCAGUCCCCCAAGGACUCUUCGCUCCACCAAGACACCUUCAACGUCUCUCUCCCUCUUAAUUACCUCUACCAUAAUAUAAUCUCCUUUUAUUUUCUUAAUCUUUUGGAUUCUGCUGAAAUAUUUAAAGUUUUGGAUUCAACUUCUUGCUCUCAGAUCUGUCGAGCUCCACAGAAAAAUGAAGGUAAUUAGGAUUUCUCUUUCUGCAGACAACUUUUUAUGUGAUUGUUUUACAUAAAAGAUAUGCUUUCAUGACUGAUGAUGCUACUUUUGGGUAAACCCAAAACUUAAUAUUUCGAAAAUCUUGGAUACCCAUACUUUUUUUACACUAAUUUGUAACUUGUUCUGAAUUUUGAACUUCGCUUUUUUUUUUUUUUUUUUUUUUUUUCUGACUAUAAUUUGUUGUGAGUCUAAAUUCUAAUAUCUUGUUUCAUGACAGAAAGUAGUGUUGAAAUUGGAAUUACACGACGAGAAGGGUAAGAAGAAAGCCAUGAGGGCCGUCUCGGGGCUUGAAGGUAUAAAUUCCAUGGCCAUAUUACUCUCUUUUUCACUCCCAUUUCAAUAGUUUCGAAUUAGCAGACUUAGGCGUAGCCAAGUUAGUUAAAGCAAUUUGCUGGUCUGCACUCAAGUUCAAAUCCACGUCUAUUUGAGUGACGAACUAAUUUAAUUUUGUGACUGGAAUUUUCUGUUUGCAGGGCUUGAUUCAAUUUCUAUGGAUAUGAAGGACAAGAAACUGACGGUCACAGGGGACAUAGAUCCAGUGGAUUUGGUGGGAAGAUUGAGGAAGCUUUGCCGGACGGAGAUAGUCUCGGUCGGACCGGCAAAGGAGGAGAAGAAGAAAGAGGAGCCAAAGAAGGAGGAGACGAAGCCGAAAGAUCCAAAGGACCAAAUGGCUGAGCUUAUCAAGGCCUACCAAGCUUAUUGUCCUCCAAUGCCUGCAUAUUAUUACGUAAAAAGUUCAGAAGAGGAUCCCAGUGCAUGUGUCAUUUGCUAAAUGGUUGGCAAAGUUUAGUUGAUAUGGUGGUGUUUAUCAAGAAGAGAAAUCAAUUCAAAUGUACAGUGGGUAAAAUUGGGAUAAAACUUUGGUUAAAAAACAUGUGGUUGGUCUUGAAUUUUAUAUGAUCUACAAGUCUCUGUGGUAUUUUUGAUAUGCUACUUUGUAUUUUACAUGAUCUAGAAUAUUAAAAUUUAAUUAAUUUUCUCUUGCAGCCAAAAUUAGCACAUGAUUUUGUUGAUAAUCUCCUUUUAUUUUCUUAAUUUCUUGAGCACGGGCUCUUUUUAUGUGUGCGUAACUGCAUGGGCUCGUGAUCCGACAUGUAGAUUAUAAAAAAGUUAGAAUUUGCUUUGUCGCAAAGAGAGACUCUUGAGUACAGGCAACAACUGCUAACAAUCAAUGUGGAACUACGUAUCACAAGGUCGAUUCUCAUUGUGAAAAGCUGCCCUACAGGUCAGUUUUCGUAUCCAAGAAUUUCUUCGUAGUUGGAGUCAUAUAUUGUACCAAACCAAAGUUCCAACCCAAGCCUUUUUCUACAGUGUCUCACUUGACAUGGUCUGAAAUAACGCGUGGAGAUCGUAGAAAUAAAGAAAAGGUGGCUGUGGGGGAUAUGGAUACCUGCCAACUACGACGACCCACAAGAAACUGGAAACGUACCAAAAAACUAUUCAUCAAGCGAACGACUCAGAAUUAAUGUUGGUUCCAACAAACACUACGAUUGCAGAUACUUUUCAAAAACCAUUGAAUUUUUCCAAAAGUGUUCGAAGCCAUUACAGUGUCGUUUGGCAACGUGAGAUUACUGAUAACACAGUUCUUAGGUUUUGUUUGGAAGUGAUUUUAAAAUGAUUAAAAUUGUUUUAGAUAAACCUAAUAUUUGUUUAAAUCCCAUUUGAAUGAUGAUGGAAUAUGGGGGAUAUGCACGACAUUAGAUAAUGAAGCAUGCAUGAUGGGAUGAUUAUCAUAUAUGUACAAAUGGUAUAUGCUUUUUGAUGUUGGCCAUGUGGAAGAUUAUAUUGGAUGGAUUUGAUAAAAGACUAGGAUUCUCUCAUCUCUUCUUUCCAUCCCCCUCCAUCCCCUCCUCUCACAUUCUCUUAUUUUGCCUUUCUCUUACUAUAAAAAAUUAAUAUAAGAUGUUGACGUAGCUUAACCGUGAUCGUUCAAUUAGGAGAGGAGGGAAGGGGAGAAAAAAAAUAGGGGAGAGAAUCCUACUCAUUUGAUAAAUGUGCUAUGGAUAAAACAUUAUGCAUGGGAUAAAGGCUACUGAUUGAGUUUUGAUGAUGAGGUAUGAAGCCUAGGUGGGCUAAACUUCUGAUGUGAUGUGAUAAGCCUAUAUAGGCUUUUAUUUUGUUUGAAAAGUCGGGCAUCCAGAAGAUAGCCUUUAGCCUAUGUCACGGAUCAGUCUUUCAUUCUACGAGUUUGAGUUUCAGUUGGUUUCUACGAAGUUAUCAGGCCGUGCCAAGCAAAAAGUAUGGAUGCUAUAAAUACAGAGUCAUAGGCAACAUUUAAGGUCCCUCCAAUUUAACACACAAAUUGCCCUGCACAAACCUCUCAACCACCUUAAGAUUUUUAUUUUCUUUUUCCGCCAACACAUCUUCAGUUUGGAUAAACAACAUUGUGAAGGUAACCAACGACAUCAUCUUUAGUUUGGAUAAACAGCAUUGGAGCUGUAGAAUCAGCCGAUAAACAACACUGGAGCUGUAGAAUCAGCUGAUCAAGGAGCACUUUCAGUUUGGUAAAUAACACUGCUUCGAGACCGACUAGUUAUUUAUCCAAGUCUCAGUCGACAAGGAUUUUCAAGUCCUUGUUGGUAGAGGUCAUUUCAUCAGCCUUCUCGGCAAAGUGAGGUGUUACAGAUUACUACAUUCGGCAUAUUGAAAGCCGAAUUUGAUAUUUGAACUUCACAGAACUAGCAGCCUUGUCUUCAGACUCUAGAACCCAAAGGCCUAGACGUGUUCCUUCCUCGGCCGCAGUCGCAAGAUCAAGAAGUCAACAACGCAUCCGACGUCACAUCAACAUAUUUUACUCCCCGAUCAAGUUCGACCGACGAGUUGACACGCCCUGCACAUAACCAAAUGAUGUAGUUAGCUUAUUAAUUGCUCGGCAUGUGUGCCACGUAUGUUUGAUAGUUUUUAGGAUUAACAGAAUCCUAUAAAAGCACUUUAAAUGCUUUCUAUAGGAAAUACAUAUCUGAUACUUCUUCCAAAAAACACUUAAAGUGCUUUUAAAAUUAAUUUCACAAAAAAAGACUUUAAUCAUUUUAAAAACAUUCACAAACGAGCUCAACUUUAAUCAUUUUAAAAACAUUCACAAACGAGCUCUUAAAGCUUAUAGUAUUUGAUUACGUGAUACCGAUGAUGCAAAUAAUAUUAAAAUUUAGUUACUUUUCUCUUGCGGCCAAAAUUAGCACAUGAUUUUGUUGACCGUAGACUGAACUUCUUGCGUCUUGACUCUUGACUAGUUGCGUUGACUCGGCUCCUUCCUUCGUAAUUUCCUCUUCUCUUUCCUACCUUCAAUUAUUCAGUAUAAAUUGCAGUCCCCCAAGGACUCUUCACUUCACCAAGACACCUUCAACGUCUCUCUCCCUCUUAAUUACCUCUACCAUAAUAUAAUCUCCUUUUAUUUUCUUAAUCUUUUGGAUUCUGCUGAAAUAUUUAAAGUUUUGGAUUCAACUUCUUGCUCUCAGAUCUGUCGAGCUCCACAGAAAAAUGAAGGUAAUUAAGGUUUCUCUUUCUGCAGACAACUUUUUAUGUGAUUUUUUUACAUAAAAGAUAUGCUUUCAUGACUGAUGAUGCUACUUUUGGGUAAACCCAAAACUUAAUUUUUCGAAAAUCUUGGAUACCCAUACUUUUUACACUAAUUUGUCACGUGGUUCUGAAUUUUGAACUUUGCUUCUUUUUUUUUCUGACUAUAAUUUGUUGUGAGUCUAAAUUCUAAUAUCUUGUUUCAUGACAGAAAGUAGUGUUGAAAUUGGAAUUACACGACGAGAAGGGUAAGAAGAAAGCCAUGAGGGCCGUCUCGGGGCUUGAAGGUAUAAAUUCCAUGGCCAUAUUACUCUCUUUUUCACUCCCAUUUCAAUAGUUUCGAAUUAGCAGACUUAGGCGUAGCCAAGGUAGUUAAAGCAAUUUGCUGGUCUACACUCAAGAUCAAAUCCACGUCUAUUUGAGUGACGAACUACUUUAAUUUUGUGACUGGAAUUUUCUGUUUGCAGGGCUUGAUUCAAUUUCUAUGGAUAUGAAGGACAAGAAACUGACGGUCACAGGGGACAUAGAUCCAGUGGACUUGGUGGGAAGAUUGAGGAAGCUUUGCCGGGCGGAGAUAGUCUCGGUCGGACCGGCAAAGGAGGAG